rnacentral:lncRNA from 1 species
UACAAGUUCAAUUGCAUUAUAAGCUCAUUCUGGUAUUCACUAUUCCCUGAAUUGGCAGUUUCUUCUUUCUUCUUGGAGUGAUCAUUUUCUCUGAGGAUGAUGCCCAAGUGGACAAUGAAUACAAUGCAACUGGUCAGUUGGUUACAUAGAAUGCCACAUUUGGGCUUUUGGAGAACUAAUGAUCGAUCUUACACUGUUUGUGGUUGAGCUGAUGAUCUAGAGGUACGACAAAUGAUUGAAAUUGAAAUUUUGACAACCUUCUAGGCUUCUUUUACCAUUCCAAAGUAUUACUGGAUUUUGACAGCUGGUGAUCUAUUGCGUUUUCUGGAGGGCUGAGAUGAGAAUUGUUUGAAAUUUAAUGAGCUGUUGCUGCUUGGAUUUUAGGCAGUUAUUGUUUUGAAUGUAACUUGUCCUUUACUACUGUUAUUUUCGAGUUAACCCGAAAGAUCAGACUCCACAGAUCAGAGUUCAGUCGAGGCAAUACUAUACCUGGCCAAGAUUGAUAUGGAGUGUCUGGGAUAAGUGAUGUUCUUUCUUGGUCAUACACAUCAACCCCUAAUCUGUCUUCCACUUCUGUUAUCUUCUAGUUAAGGUGGAAUGAUCAGAUGUUCUCUUCCUGUGCUAUCAAGAAAGGGAACCCUUCGAUAUGAAGAUUAGCUUCUACCCCACCCCCAGAUCUUACUCAUUUCUUUCGCAGGUCAGAGUUUGGUCGAGCCAAUAGUUUACCUCGUCAAUUUUGAUAUGGAGUAUAUGCGAUCGGUAAUGGUUCAUUCUUGUUGCAUAAGCAUUAAUUCAUGGGACAAGUUCUUCUUUCAGAGUUCUUUCAUGUCUGGAAAGGUCCGCACAUGUUCUAGCUCGUUUCUCUCCCCAUUCUUCUGUAGGACUCCUGAUUGCACUUUCAGCUUCAUACCGUAUGACUUGAUGCUUCUGGCUCUCAUUUUCCAGAGUUAUUUUUUCUUAUUAACAAAAAUUUUAGUGUGGGUGAAUAAAAGUGAAAUUUUGAAGUUCCCUUGCCAUUGAUCAACAGCUCUCUGCUACCUUUCACCAGCUUUAAGAUGAUGGUGAAUUCAAUUUGGUGAAGAUGGUUGUUGAGACUGAGAUUUUAUCCAACUCUGAUCACAAUCCACCGUCAGUAAGUUGGUCAAUGUGGAGACAAAUUGCUUUUUAUAUGGACAUAGUAUCUUUUUGGUUUUUAAUAGCCAUGGAAUUUGAUUUAGAUGGAGAAGAUGUGCUAAUUGCAGGAGUCUUUCGAUUAUUUCAUAGUUAUUCUAAGUAUAUUACUCACCUUGUGGUUGGAUAGCAUUUGAUGCACUCCCUUGCUGGUAAUUUCACUUGAAACAAGUGGUUGGUCACAGAUGGAUGAGGUUCUUGCCUUCUCGGGGAAUUGCUUCAGUCAGAUAUGAGUUUUUGGUCUAACUCUUUUCUUUGUUAUUCAGUUGGUAUCGCCUUGAUUCGCUUAUAACGUAUAUAAGUUUUUCACUCAUGGAGAUUCUUCAUAAAACCUGUCUUUACACGCCACAACAGAUCACUAUCCAGUAUCCAAUCCAGAUCCGCAUCUUAUAAGUUCGAAGGCCAGUGUCUCCUUCCUAGAAAUAGUCCCUCUCGUGUGUCCUCAUCCUUCAGUUUCAUCUGCGUU